rnacentral:rRNA from 1 species
ACGCUAGCUACAGGCUUAACACAUGCAAGUCGAGGGGCAGCAUGUUGGUUGCUUGCAACCAAUGAUGGCGACCGGCGCACGGGUGAGUAACGCGUAUCCAACCUACCCAAUACUCAGGCAUAACCCGUUGAAAGACGGACUAAUUCCUGAUGGUAUGUAUUUUUCUCAUGAGUUAUACAUUAAAGAAUUUCGGUAUUGGAUGGGGAUGCGUCUGAUUAGUUUGUUGGUGAGGUAACGGCUCACCAAGACUUCGAUCAGUAGGGGUUCUGAGAGGAAGGUCCCCCACAUUGGAACUGAGACACGGUCCAAACUCCUACGGGAGGCAGCAGUGAGGAAUAUUGGUCAAUGGAUGCAAAUCUGAACCAGCCAAGUAGCGUGCAGGAUGACGGCCCUAUGGGUUGUAAACUGCUUUUAUGUGAGAAUAAAGUUAGGUAUGUAUACUUAUUUGCAUGUAUCACAUGAAUAAGGACCGGCUAAUUCCGUGCCAGCAGCCGCGGUAAUACGGAAGGUCCAGGCGUUAUCCGGAUUUAUUGGGUUUAAAGGGUGCGUAGGCCGUUUGAUAAGCGUGCUGUGAAAUAUAGUGGCUCAACCUCUAUCGUGCAGCGCGAACUGUUGAACUUGAGUGCGUAGUAGGUAGGCGGAAUUCGUGGUGUAGCGGUGAAAUGCUUAGAUAUCACGAAGAACUCCGAUUGCGAAGGCAGCUUACCGUAACGCUACUGACGCUUAAGCACGAAGGUGCGGGUAUCGAACAGGAUUAGAUACCCUGGUAGUCCGCACAGUAAACGAUGGAUGCUCGCUGUUGGCCUAUUGUGGUCAGUGGCUUAGCGAAAGCGUUAAGCAUCCCACCUGGGGAGUACGCCGGCAACGGUGAAACUCAAAGGAAUUGACGGGGGCCCGCACAAGCGGAGG